GGCAGGCCUAACACAUGCAAGUCGAACGAUGAAGCGGAGCUUGCUCUGGUGGAUUAGUGGCGAACGGGUGAGUAACACGUGAGCAACCUGCCCCUGACUCUGGGAUAACAGCCGGAAACGGCUGCUAAUACCGGAUAUGCACCAUGAACGCAUGUUCUGUGGUGGGAAAGAUUUUUCGGUUGGGGAUGGGCUCGCGGCCUAUCAGCUUGUUGGUGAGGUAAUGGCUCACCAAGGCGUCGACGGGUAGCCGGCCUGAGAGGGUGACCGGCCACACUGGGASUGAGACACGGCCCAGACUCCUACGGGAGGCAGCAGUGGGGAAUAUUGCACAAUGGGCGAAAGCCUGAUGCAGCAACGCCGCGUGAGG
rnacentral:rRNA from 1 species